UACCCCUUACGCGCCUCGUGCGCGCUCUCAGGGCUUAUAUUCAAGCCAGUGGCAGGAGCUUUUGCUCGCAUCUCUUCUCUUCUUCUUCUUCUUCUUCUUCUUCUUCUUCAUUAUCAUCAUCUGCAGAGUCGUUCGCUUCUCCACGAGGUGCCAUCAUAGCAAAGUGAGAUGGGAGAUGGAAAAAUUAAGUUUGACGGAUCAAACACUACUGAGAGAGGACUCUUUUCAAACAUGAUGUACGGAUUUUCCGAAUAUUCAUCGGCCGGAUAUCCACCUCAAGGCCACAGUGGAUAUCCACCGCCACAUGGAUACCCUCUGGGGCUUGGUUCUUAUCCUCCACGUGGAUACCCGUCACAUUUAUCAGGUCCUUAUCCUCCAUACCCGUCACAUGGAUACCCGUCGGGAUGUCUAACACAUAUGUCAGGUCCUUAUCCUCCAUAUGGCUAUCCUCGCCCUCCUGGUCCACCCCCUCCACGGUAUCAUGGAUAUGGACAUGGCUCUACCAUAGGGUCAAUGCUGGCUGGGGGAGCAGCAGGUUAUGGGGCUCAUCACCUGUUGUCGUCGCAUGGGCACCAUCACCAUCAUUUCCCCGGGCAUGGAAUGUACCAUGGCCACCCUGGUCAUCAUGGCAAGUUCAAGCAUGGCAAGUUCAAGCGUGGCAAGUUUUGGAAGCAUGGAAAGUUCGGUGGCAAGUUUAAGAAGUGGAAGUGAUCUAUCUGUAAGGUUGUUCUGAUGACUGAACUGGUUGUGCUUGCUGUGGCUUUGAUCUUGAGAGGAGGGAGGGUCUGCCCUUGUUUGUGUGAUAUGAAUGUUGCAGCUAUCAUCGUCUGCAAACACUCUACUCUGAGAGUACUGGUGUUAUCUAUCCUUCCACAACUCUGUUGCUGAUGAGUAGUAAUGUACUACACAUAAACAUGUAGUAGCUGUGUCAUGGUUCCAUGUUCUUCGCUUUGAUGUGGAAAUCAUUGCUUCUUCUUUC